rnacentral:rRNA from 1 species
GCAAAGGUAGCAUAAUCAUUCGCCCUUUAAUUGUGGGCUAGUAUGAAUGGAUAAACAAGAAUUUAGCUGUCUCAUAUAUAAAUCUAAAAACUAUUUUUCAGGCGAAUAAACCUGAUUUUACCUACAGGACAAGAAGACCCUAUCGAGCUUUAUUACCCUAAAACAAAAAUAUUAUUUUCUAAAUAUAACCAUUUUUAAGUAAUUUCGUUGGGGCGACGAAGGAAUCUAUUAAACCUCCUUUAAUUUAUAGAUUUAUAAAUCAAAAAAUUGACCCAAUAUCACUGAUCAAAAAACAAAGCUACCGUAGGGAUAACAGGCUAAUUUUUCUCCAGAGCUCAAAUUUACAGAAAAGAUUGGCAC